UUUAUUCUCUUUUUUGUUAUACGGAUGGAAUUUUAUUUUGCAUUUUUUAUUAGACUUCACGUACAUAAAGUGUGAUCGUGUGAAGUACCCUUUGGUUACUUUUGCUGUACAGUUUUACAGUUCAACACCUCUUAUGAAAUUUCCAACUACAGACGACGAAAAUAACCUAUAGAAUAUUUAAUGGGUUUACAGUUUUAUCAACGGGUUCAGUUCAAUAUUCGCACAGAUACCAAAUAUCGCUAACCUUAAGGGUUCUUCUGGAACUACUGCAUUUAAAAUAAUGUCAUAACAUUCAUAAGGACUACUUGCACAAAACCCCGGCUUUUUUUCCAAUUCUAAGAAAAACAAACCAA